CCUGGGCUACGCACGUGCUACAAUGGUUGGUACAACGAGUUGCGAGUCGGUGACGGCGAGCUAAUCUCUUAAAGCCAAUCUCAGUUCGGAUUGUAGGCUGCAACUCGCCUACAUGAAGUCGGAAUCGCUAGUAAUCGCGGAUCAGCACGCCGCGGUGAAUACGUUCCCGGGCCUU
rnacentral:rRNA from 1 species